AAGCAUCUAAGCGGGAAACUUGCCUCGAGAUGAGUCUUCCCUGUCACCUUGAGUGACCUAAAGGAACGUUUAAGACUAAGACGUUGAUAGGCUGGGUGUGUAAGCGUAGCGAUACGUUGAGCUAACCAGUACUAAUGAACCGUGAGGCUUAACCUGACACACCGAAGGUGUU
rnacentral:rRNA from 1 species